CCCUUAGAUGUUCUGGGCAGCACGCGCGCUACAAUGGUCUUCGCAAACGGAUGCAUUCUCGAAGGAGAAUGCCAAUCUUGGAAUCUAUGCCUUGGUCGGGACAGUUGCUUGCAAUUUUUCGACUCGAACCAGGAAUUCCUUGUAAUCGUGCUUCAUCACAUCACGAUGAAUACGUCCCUGCCCUUUGUACACACCGCCCGUCGCUCCUACCGAUCGAAGAGUUAGGUGAAUUGUUUUGAUCGAUAAGAUUUGACUAUGGUCAACUCUCGUUGUGAAAUUCUGUGAAUCUGACUGUUUAGAGGAAGGAAAAGUCGUAACA
rnacentral:rRNA from 1 species